rnacentral:rRNA from 1 species
AUAGGAUUCCCUCAGUAAUGGCGAAUGAACAGGGAUUAGCUCAGCGUGGAAAUUGGGGCCUUGGGCCUUGAAUUGUAGUCUUGAGAUGUAUUGCCAACGUGGGCGCAUAUGUAUGCCUCUUGGGAAAGAGCAUCAACGAAGGUGAGAGUCCUGCUUGUCAUCUGCAGCCCCACGUGUACGGUGUAUGAUCUAAGAGUCACGCUCCUCGGAAUUGGAGCGCAAAGUGGGUGGUAAAUUUCAUCUUAAGUUGCAUAUUUGUUUGAGACCGAUAGCAAACAAGUACCAUGAGGGAAAGAUGAAAAGGACUUUGGAAAGAGAGUUAAAAGUGCCUGAAAUUGCUGGAAGGGAAGCGAACAGAACCAAUCUGCUUGGUGGGAUUGUUGCGUGCUGAUGUGAUUGCUUGUUGCUGAAAGCUCCGCUGCGCCAACAAGCGUUGAUCUGAGUGCGCGUGGUGGUUCUUGCCUUGUGUGUCAUCGCCAGUUCUCGAUAGAGGAAAACUCCAAGGGCAUGGAAAGUCCGCCUUUGGGUGUGCAAAUGUGCUUGGCAGAACUUAUUGGUGUACUGAUUCCUUGAGUUGAUGACUAAAUGGAUCUUUCCGACCCGUCUUGAAACACGGACCAAGGAGUCUAACAUAUGUGCAAGUUCACGGGCUGAUAAACCUGUCUGCGCAAUUAACGUGACUGCUGGGAUUUGUGCACCAGCCACCGACCGAUCAAUCGAGCGAGGUUUGAGUAUGAGCAUGUGUGUUAGGACCCGAAAGAUGGUGAACUAUGCCUGAGAAGGGCAAACUCAGGGGAAACUCUGAUGGAGGCUCGUAGCGAUACUGACGUGCAAAUCGUUCGUCAUACUUGGGUAUAGGGGCGAAAGACUAAUCGAACCAUCUAGUAGCUGGUUCCCUCCGAAGUUUCCCUCAGGAUAGCUGGAGUUGAACAGUUUUAUCAGGUAAAGCGAAUGAUUAGAGGAAUCGGGGGCGUGUUGUCCUCGACCUAUUCUCAAACUUUAAAUGGGUAAGAUCCAGUGGUUACUUGUGUGAACUUCUGGGAUAAAUGGCAACUCUAAGUGGGCCAUUUUUGGUAAGCAGAACUGGCGAUGAGGGAUGAACCUUACGUUGGGUUAAGGUGCUUAACUGCUCGCUCAUCAGAUACCAUAAAGGGUGUUGGUUCAUUUUAACAGCAGGACGGGGUCA